rnacentral:rRNA from 1 species
AUUGAACGCUGGCGGCAGGCCUAACACAUGCAAGUCGAACGAGUGGCGGACUGGUGAGUCAUGUCUGGGAAACUGCCCGCUGGAGGGGGAUAACUACUGUAAACGGUAGCUAAUACCGCAUACCAUCGGAUGUUCCCAGAUGGGAUUAGCUAGUAGGUGGGGUAAAGGAUCACCUAGGCGAAGAUCCCUAGCUGGUCUGAGAGGAGGACCAGCCACACGGGAACUGAGACACGGUCCAGACUCCUACGGGAGGAAGCAGUGGGGAAUAUUGGACAAUGGGCGCAAGCCUGAUGCAGCCAUGCCGCGUGUAUGAAGAAGGCCUUCGGGUUGUAAAGUACUUUCAGCGGGGAGGCGUUACCCGCAGAAGAAGCACCGGCUAACUCCGUGCCAGCAGCCGCGGUAAUAC